GCCUCUGUAGUAUAAAAAUUAUACUGGUCUUGUAAACCAGAGAUGGAGAAUUCUAAUCUCCCCGAGACA
rnacentral:tRNA from 1 species